AGAGUUUGAUCCUGGCUCAGAAUGAACGCUGGCGGCGUGUUUAAGACAUGCAAGUCGCACGGGGGAAUGUGAGUAGCAAUACAAGCAUUCUUCAGUGGCGCACGGGUGCGUAACACGUGAGUUACAUGCCCUGCAGAGGGGGAUAGCCCAGGGAAACUUGGAUUAAUACCCCAUGGUCUCGCAAGAGUAAAGGUGGCGCAAGCUGCCGCUGCAGGAUUGGCUCGCGGCCUAUCAGCUAGUUGGUGAGGUAACGGCUCACCAAGGCUACGACGGGUACCUGGUCUGAGAGGACGAUCAGGCACACUGGAACUGAGACACGGUCCAGACACCUACGGGUGGCAGCAGUCGAGAAUCAUUCACAAUGGGGGCAACCCUGAUGGUGCAACGCCGCGUGGAGGAUGAAGGUCUUCGGAUUGUAAACUCCUGUCAUCUAGGAGCAAGGCAUGGUGGUGAAUAGCCGACAUGAUUGAUAGUACUAGAAGAGGAAGGGACGGCUAACUUCGUGCCAGCAGCCGCGGUAAUACGAAGGUCCCGAGCGUUAUUCGGAAUCACUGGGCGUAAAGGGAGCGUAGGCGGCGUGGAAAGUCAGAUGUGAAAUCCCGGGGCUCAACCCCGGAACUGCAUCCGAUACUACCAUGCUAGAGUAUUGGAGGGGUAACUGGAAUUCUCGGUGUAGCAGUGAAAUGCGUGGAUAUCGAGAGGAACACCUGUGGCGAAAGCGAGUUACUGGACAAUUACUGACGCUGAGGCUCGAAAGGCUAGGGGAGCAAAAGGGAUUAGAUACCCCUGUAGUCCUAGCA
rnacentral:rRNA from 1 species